rnacentral:misc_RNA from 1 species
AAGUCGUAACAAGGUCUCCGUUGGUGAACCAGCGGAGGGAUCAUUACUGAGUUACCGCUCUAUAACCCUUUGUGAACAUACCUAACCGUUGCUUCGGCGGGUUAGGGGGUCCCCUCUCCGGGGGACGCCCUCCCGGCCGGGCCCCACUGCGGGGCUCGGCGCCCGCCGGAGGAUAACCAAACUCUGAUUUAACGACGUCUCUUCUGAGUGGCACAAGCAAAUAAUUAAAACUUUUAACAACGGAUCUCUUGGUUCUG